rnacentral:piRNA from 1 species
UGACUAUGAGGCUAUCUUUAGAUACACAUC